rnacentral:rRNA from 1 species
AUUGAACGCUGGCGGCAGGCUUAACACAUGCAAGUCGAGCGGAGAUGAGGUGCUUGCACCUUAUCUUAGCGGCGGACGGGUGAGUAAUGCUUAGGAAUCUGCCUAUUAGUGGGGGACAACAUUCCGAAAGGAAUGCUAAUACCGCAUACUUCCUACGGGGGAAAGCAGGGGAUUUUCGGCCCUUGCGCUAAUAGAUGAGCCUAAGUCGGAUUAGCUAGUUGGUGGGGUAAAGGCCUACCAAGGCGACGAUCUGUAGCGGGUCUGAGAGGAUGAUCCGCCACACUGGGACUGAGACACGGCCCAGACUCCUACGGGAGGCAGCAGUGGGGAAUAUUGGACAAUGGGGGGAACCCUGAUCCAGCCAUGCCGCGUGUGUGAAGAAGGCCUUAUGGUUGUAAAGCACUUUAAGCGAGGAGGAGGCUACUGAGACUAAUACUCUUGGAUAGUGGACGUUACUCGCAGAAUAAGCACCGGCUAACUCUGUGCCAGCCGCCGCAGUAACAC